rnacentral:rRNA from 1 species
AACGAACGCUGGCGGCAGGCCUAACACAUGCAAGUCGAGCGCCCCGCAAGGGGAGCGGCGGACGGGUGAGUAACGCGUGGGAAUUUUUCCUGGAGUACGGAACAACCGAGGGAAACUUCGGCUAAUACCGUAUGAUGUCUAGCGACCAAAGAUUUAUCGCUCUGGGGUAAGCCCGCGUCAGAUUAGGUAGUUGGUGGGGUAACGGCCUACCAAGCCUGCGAUCUGUAGCUGGUCUGAGAGGACGAUCAGCCACACUGGGACUGAGACACGGCCCAGACUCCUACGGGAGGCAGCAGUGGGGAAUCUUGCGCAAUGGGCGAAAGCCUGACGCAGCCAUGCCGCGUGAGUGAAGAAGGUCUUAGGAUUGUAAAGCUCUUUCGCUCGUGACGAUGAUGACGGUAACGAGAGAAGAAGCCCCGGCUAACUUCGUGCCAACAGCAGCCGCU